rnacentral:rRNA from 1 species
AUACGGAGGGGACAAGCGUUAUUCGGAAUCACUGGGCGUAAAGGACGCGUAGGCGGGUUAUUAAGUCGGGUGUGAAAUCCAAUGGCUCAACCAUUGAACUGCAUUCGAAACUGAUAACCUAGAGUAUGGAAGGGGCAGGUGGAAUUAGCGGUGUAGGGGUAAAAUCCGUAGAUAUCACUAGGAAUACCGAAAGCGAAGGCGACCUGCUGGGACAUUACUGACGCUGAGGCGUGAAAGCGUGGGUAGCAAACAGGAUUAGAUACCCCGGUAGUCC